UUAGAGUUUGAUCCUGGCUCAGAACGAACGCUGGCGGCGUGGAUAAGACAUGCAAGUCGAGCGAGAGAAUUGCUAGCUUGCUAAUAAUUCUCUAGUGGCGCACGGGUGAGUAACACGUGAGUAACCUGCCCCCGAGAGCGGGAUAGCCCUGGGAAACUGGGAUUAAUACCGCAUAGUAUCGAAAGAUUAAAGCAGCAAUGCGCUUGGGGAUGGGCUCGCGGCCUAUUAGUUAGUUGGUGAGGUAACGGCUCACCAAGGCGAUGACGGGUAGCCGGUCUGAGAGGAUGUCCGGCCACACUGGAACUGAGACACGGUCCAGACACCUACGGGUGGCAGCAGUCGAGAAUCAUUCACAAUGGGGGAAACCCUGAUGGUGUGACGCCGCGUGGGGGAAUGAAGGUCUUCGGAUUGUAAACCCCUGUCAUGUGGGAGCAAAUUAAAAAGAUAGUACCACAAGAGGAAGAGACGGCUAACUCUGUGCCAGCAGCCGCGGUAAUACAGAGGUCUCAAGCGUUGUUCGGAAUCACUGGGCGUAAAGCGUGCGUAGGCUGUUUUGUAAGUCGUGUGUGAAAGGCGCGGGCUCAACCCGCGGACGGCACAUGAUACUGCGAGACUAGAGUAAUGGAGGGGGAACCGGAAUUCUCGGUGUAGCAGUGAAAUGCGUAGAUAUCGAGAGGAACACUCGUGGCGAAGGCGGGUUCCUGGACAUUAACUGACGCUGAGGCACGAAGGCCAGGGGAGCGAAAGGGAUUAGAUACCCCUGUAGUCCUGGCAGUAAACGGUGCACGCUUGGUGUGCGGGGAAUCGACCCCCUGCGUGCCGGAGCUAACGCGUUAAGCGUGCCGCCUGGGGAGUACGGUCGCAAGAUUAAAACUCAAAGAAAUUGACGGGGACCCGCACAAGCGGUGGAGUAUGUGGCUUAAUUCGAUGCAACGCGAAGAACCUUACCUGGGCUUGACAUGUAAUGAACUACAUGUGAAAGCAUGCGACUCUUCGGAGGCGUUACACAGGUGCUGCAUGGCCGUCGUCAGCUCGUGUCGUGAGAUGUUUGGUUAAGUCCAGCAACGAGCGCAACCCCUGUUGCCAGUUACCAGCACGUGAAGGUGGGGACUCUGGCGAGACUGCCCAGAUCAACUGGGAGGAAGGUGGGGACGACGUCAGGUCAGUAUGGCCCUUAUGCCCAGGGCUGCACACGUACUACAAUGCCCAGUACAGAGGGGGCCGAAGCCGCGAGGCGGAGGAAAUCCUGAAAACUGGGCCCAGUUCGGACUGUAGGCUGCAACCCGCCUACACGAAGCCGGAAUCGCUAGUAAUGGCGCAUCAGCUACGGCGCCGUGAAUACGUUCCCGGGUCUUGCACACACCGCCCGUCA
rnacentral:rRNA from 1 species